rnacentral:rRNA from 1 species
UACGUAGGGGGCAAGCGUUGUCCGGAAUCAUUGGGCGUAAAGCGCGUGUAGGCGGUUCGGUAAGUCUGCUGUGAAAGUCCAGGGCUCAACCCUGGGAUGCCGGUGGAUACUGUCGGACUAGAGUACGGAAGAGGCGAGUGGAAUUCCCGGUGUAGCGGUGAAAUGUGCAGAUAUCGGGAGGAACACCAAUUGCGAAGGCAGCUCGCUGGGACGUCACUGACGCUGAGACGCGAAAGCGUGGGGAGCAAACAGG